CGUCUUCGGACGGUCACGUGGCGGACGGGUGAGGAACACGUGGGCGAUCUGCCCCGGGGCGGGGGAUAGCCACCAGAAAUGGUGGGUAAUACCGCAUGAGCUGCUCCAGUUACGGCUGGGGCAGGAAAGGCGCAAGCCACCCUGGGAGGAGCCUGCGGCGGAUUAGCUUGUUGGCGGGGUAACGGCUCACCAAGGCGAUGAUCCGUAGCUGGUCUGAGAGGACGGCCAGCCACAGGGGAACUGAGACACGGUCCCCACUCCUACGGGAGGCAGCAGCAAGGAAUUUUCCGCAAUGGGCGAAAGCCUGACGGAGCAACGCCGCGUGGGGGAUGACGCUUUUCGGA
rnacentral:rRNA from 1 species